rnacentral:rRNA from 1 species
GGGGAAUUUUGGACAAUGGGGGAAACCCUGAUCCAGCCAUCCCGCGUGUAUGAUGAAGGCCUUCGGGUUGUAAAGUACUUUUGGCAGAGAAGAAAAGGUAUCUCCUAAUACGAGAUACUGCUGACGGUAUCUGCAGAAUAAGCACCGGCUAACUACGUGCCAGCAGCCGCGGUAAUACGUAGGGUGCAAGCGUUAAUCGGGAUUACUGGGCGUAAAGCGUGUGUAGGCGGUUCGGAAAGAAAGAUGUGAAAUCCCAGGGCUCAACCUUGGAACUGCAUUUUUAACUGCCGAGCUAGAGUAUGUCAGAGGGGGGUAGAAUUCCACGUGUAGCAGUGAAAUGCGUAGAUAUGUGGAGGAAUACCGAUGGCGAAGGCAGCCCCCUGGGAUAAUACUGACGCUCAGACACGAAAGCGUGGGGAGCAAAC